CUUCUCUAUAGUGCUAUCUGUUAGAAACUGCAAUAUCCCCAGCAUUCCACAAUGCACGAAGUAGCAGCAUUGAACACUUUUUACUCUACUAAACUACAGCAGCAAAAACUCACGGGGAGAAAAGGAUACUUUUCAUCAUUCCCAAGAAAUCAUUACCGCUUUUAAAUUCUAAGCAUGCUCUUGCCUAUGUUCUUGGAAGCCGCAAGGAUAUUUAGUAUUCAAGUCUGUCCCUUACCCCACACUACAUAUACAAAUGAAGGGAAUUAUUUUCUGAAUACACGUCCGAAAGACAAUCCUGGGAUAAGUCUAUGUAUCCAUGUUGGCCACUAAAAAAAUCCACAGGAGUUUCCGCUUUUCCUCCCCCGACUAUGAUAUAAUACAGAGACUUUUUUUGUUUUG